rnacentral:rRNA from 1 species
GCUCACAACCAUAUGCCAAAAGCACCAGUUCGUAUCUGAUCCCCAAAGUUGAGCAACAUCCAGUCUAGUUAGUACUUAAAUGGGUGACCACUUGAGGAACCUAGAUUUCAUAAAGA